GCAAAGGAAUACGAGCAGAAGCGAAGAAUGGUUGGCGAUCAGUUGGAGGUCUCAGCAGAAGCUCAAGGAAAAAACAAAAAUCACAUUUCCAUGUGUCUCACUGCCUUCUGUUGCCGACCCGAGAGAAGCUCCUCGCCUUCCAACCUCAAAUCUUCACCAAAUCCGAUCGAGAUUACAGAGGCGUCGGCCAAUCCGCAACCUGGCGGUAGCAGCUUUCACGCAAGCGGCUCCCAGGAAUUAGAAGAUUCCCUCCCUUCUGGUUCUGAACAGAAAGUCAGAAUGAGUCUAUGUUCACUGUCUGGCCAAUCAUCAAACAUUGUUUCAAACCAUGACUUCUCAAAUGGGCUUGAGUCCUGGCAUUCCAAUUGUUGUCAGUCUUAUGUUGCAUCAGAAAAUUCUAAUUUUGUGAAUGGAGUGAAACCUCUAUCCGGGAGUAAUUAUGCUGUUGUCAUGCAAAGGAGCGAGAAUUGGCAAGGUCUGGAGCAAGAUAUCACUGAUAAAGUCAUUGCUGGAGUAAAGUAUAUUGUAACAGUGUUUGUUUCUGUUCAUGGAGAUUUCCAUGGAGCAAGUGGAGUUCAAGCAACAUUGAGAAUAGAGAACUUAGAUUCUUCAGUUAGCUAUGUUUUUAUUGAGAGGAUCUUGGUCUCUCAAGAUUGCUGGAGGAAGUUAGAAGGUUCCUUCUUACUAACAAGCAACCCAAGGCGAGUAGUUUUUUACUUGGAAGGGCCUAAUCCUGGUAUUGACUUGCUCAUAGAUUCUGUAGCUAUUGCUUGUGAGCAGAAAGUUGGAAUGACUAGUUCACCGAACAUUGUAUCCAACCAUGACUUCUUAAAUGGUCUUGAGUCAUGGCAUCCCAAUUGUUGCCAAGCUUAUGUCACAUCAGGAAAUUCUAAUUUUUUGAAUGGAGUGAAACCUCUAUCUGGGGAUAAUUAUGCUGUUGUGAUGCGGAGAAGUGAGAAUUGGCAAGGUCUAGAGCAAGAUAUCACUGAUAAGGUUGCUGCUGGUUUAAAGUAUAAUGUAACAGUGUUUGUUGCUGUUCAUGGAGAUCUCCAUGGAACAACAGGAGUUCAAGCAACAUUGAAAUUAGAGAAUGAUUCUUCUCUUAGCUAUGUGUUUAUUGAGAGGAUCGUGGUCUCUCAAGAUUGCUGGAAGAAAUUGGAAGGUUCUUUUUCACUAACAAGCAAGCCAAGACGAGUAGUUUUCUAUUUGGAAGGGCCUGAUCCUGGUAUUGACAUUCUCAUAGAUUCUGUGGCUAUUGUUUGUGAGGAAGUCAUUACAUAUCGGGUUUCAAGUAAUGAUGAAGAUAUUUCAAAUAAUGAUGAACAUAUAGUACAUAAUCCACAGUUUGAAGAUGGAUUAAAUAAUUGGUCAGGAAGAGGAUGCAAGAUUACCUUAUGCAGUUCUCUUUGCAAUGGAAAAAUACUUCCUGUCAAAGGAAAGUUUUUUGUUGCAGCUACUGAGAGAAGCCAUAACUGGAAUGGGAUUGAGCAAGAGAUAACUGGAAGAUUUGUCAGAAAGCGCACAUAUGAAGUUACAGCUCUAGUUCAGAUAUUCGGGCAUACUAAUAAUGCUGGUGUUCAAUUGACUCUAUGGGUUCAGUCUCCAAAUGGUCGGGAACAGUACAUUGGCAUUGCUAAAACUCAGGCAUCAGACAAGGAGUGGGUACAAUUGCAGGGGAAAUUUCUUUUGAAUGGUGUUGCUUCAAGAGCCAUUCUAUUUAUAGAAGGGCCAAAUCCAGGUAUUGAUAUACUCGUCGAUAGUGUAGUUGUGAGGCGACCAAUAAAAGCUGGAAGUUCAGUUCCACCUAUUACUGAGGUUGAUUCAGAGGAUGCUAAUGUAAUCAGAAACGUCAGUCUCACUGAUGGUCUUAACCAAUGGAAUCCUCUAGGCUCAUGCAAGCUGAGCAUUUGUACUCAUCCACAGAGCUUCUCGCCAGUGGAGUAUUCUCUCAGUUUUUAUCAGCCACAAAACAAGAGAUAUAUCCUGACAACAAAUCGCACAGAAACAUGGAUGGGCCCUUCCCAGAUAAUAACAAACAGGAUUAAGUUACAUAUUACUUACCAAGUUGUUGCUUGGGUUCGUCUAGGUUCAGGAGCAAGUGGUCCUCAGAAUGUGAAUAUAGCACUUAAUAUAGACAAUCAGUGGGUUAAUGGGGGACAAGUGGAGGCAAAUAAUGAUAGAUGGUACAAGAUUAGAGGAUCAUUCAGGGUUGAGAAAAAACCAUCCAAAGUAGUAGUUCAUGCUCAAGGACCCCCAUCAGGUGUUGACUUGAUGAUGUCAGAAGCACAGAUACUUCCUGUUAAUAGGAAGACAAGAUAUAAAAUUCUUAAGGAAAAAGCUGACAAGAUAAGGAAGCAGGAUAUUGUCCUUAAAUUUAUAGGAUUUCAUGAAGAUCUUUCUGGUGCAUCUCUAAAGAUUCAUCAAAUUGAGAACAGCUUUCCUAUUGGGGCUUGUAUUAGUAGAUCGAACAUUGAGAAUGAGGAAUUUGUUGAUUUCUUUUUGAAGAACUUUAAUUGGGCUGUAUUUGGGAAUGAAUUGAAAUGGUACCAUACAGAGCCACAGAGAGGACAUUUCAAUUAUAAAGAUGCAGAUGAGUUGUUGGAUUUCUGUCAAAAACAUGGAAAACAGACAAGGGGCCACUGUGUUUUUUGGGAGGUAGAGGAUGCUGUCCAGCCAUGGCUAAGAUCAUUGAGCAAUAUUGAGCUGAUGAAAGCUGUCCAGAACCGCCUUAAAGGGUUACUAACCAGGUAUAGAGGGAUGUUUAAGCACUAUGAUGUUAACAAUGAGAUGCUCCAUGGAUCAUUCUUCCAAGAUAGACUUGGAAAAGAUAUCAGAGCAUACAUGUUUCGUGAAGCCCAUCAUCUUGAUCCAUCUGCUGUGCUCUAUGUUAAUGAUUACAAUGUGGAAGAUGGAUGUGAUCCAAAGUCGACACCUGAAAGGUUGAUUGAUCAAAUACUUGAUUUACAGAAAUCUGGUGCACCUGUAGGGGGGAUUGGUAUACAAUGUCACAUUAGUCACCCAGUUGGAGAAAUCAUAUGUGAUGCACUGGACAAGUUGGCAGUAUUAGGUCUCCCGAUAUGGUUGACUGAAUUAGAUGUCUCUGCAGUAAAUGAACAUGUUCGAGCAGAUGACUUGGAGGUUGUUCUUCGAGAAGCCUUUGCACAUCCUGCUAUUGAAGGAGUCAUGCUUUGGAGUUUCUGGGAACUGUUCACUUGCAGGGAUCAUUCUCAUUUAGUUAAUGCAGAAGGAGACAUAAAUGAAGCUGGUAAACGGUUCCUUGCUCUGAAGAAUGAGUGGUUAUCUAAUGCCGAUGGCAAGAUUGAUGCUUCAGGUGAAUUCAAGUUUAGAGGAUAUCAUGGUACAUACUCUGUUGAAAUAAGCACCAAGUUUAAGAGCAUAUCCAGAUCAUUUAAAGUUGAAAAGGGAGAUUCUCCUGUUGUAGUGAUAAUCAAUUCAUAGUUGCAUGGUCAUUUAAGUGGGUGUUUGUGUUUAUCAUUGUGGUUCGAAAGGAGUUCAUUGGUUGCACACAAGAUGGUGACUUGAGGUGGUAGAUUCAAGCAUCUUUCUUUUUUUGGAGUAACUUCUAUCAUGGUGGCAAUAGGCGAAUACGCUCGCCCUCAGCGCUCCCGCCAACCCAUCCUAGGACGAACACGGAGGAGGUAAAUCACGAGCGGUUAUUAGCCUUUGGAAUAGUGACUAGUACAUAAGGGAGGUAUUUAUCUCGAUUUUGUCGAGAUUCGAAUCUCAGACCUCAUGAUGACAACAUCUCAUGUGCUAGACACUAUAUCGUCCUGACUAGAGUAACUUCUAUCAAUGACCAUUUGAUAGUGACACUGUCAAAAG